GACGAACGCUGGCGGCGUGCUUAACACAUGCAAGUCGAACGGAAAGGCCCUGCUUUUGUGGGGUGCUCGAGUGGCGAACGGGUGAGUAACACGCGAGUAACCUGCCCUUGACUUUGGGAUAACUUCAGGAAACUGGGGCUAAUACCGGAUAGGAGCUCCUGCUGCAUGGUGGGGGGUGGAAAGUUUCGGCGGUUGGGGAUGGACUCGCGGCUUAUCAGCUUGUUGGUGGGGUAGUGGCUUACCAAGGCUUUGACGGGUAGCCGGCCUGAGAGGGUGACCGGCCACAUUGGGACUGAGAUACGGCCCAGACUCCUACGGGAGGCAGCAGUGGGGAAUAUUGCACAAUGGGCGGAAGCCUGAUGCAGCAACGCCGCGUGCGGGAUGACGGCCUUCGGGUUGUAAACCGCUUUCGCCUGUGACGAAGCGUGAGUGACGGUAAUGGGUAAAGAAGCACCGGCUAACUACGUG
rnacentral:rRNA from 1 species